CAACAAGUCACAGUCUCCCGUCU
rnacentral:miRNA from 1 species